rnacentral:rRNA from 1 species
AUGGGCGCAAGCCUGAUGCAGCGACGCCGCGUGAGGGAUGACGGCCUUCGGGUUGUAAACCUCUUUCAAUAGGGACGAAGCGCAAGUGACGGUACCUAUAGAAGAAGGACCGGCCAACUACGUGCCAGCAGCCGCGGUAAUACGUAGGGUCCGAGCGUUGUCCGGAAUUACUGGGCGUAAAGAGCUCGUAGGUGGUUUGUCGCGUUGUUCGUGAAAACUCACAGCUUAACUGUGGGCGUGCGGGCGAUACGGGCAGACUAGAGUACUGCAGGGGAGACUGGAAUUCCUGGUGUAGCGGUGGAAUGCGCAGAUAUCAGGAGGAACACCGGUGGCGAAGGCGGGUCUCUGGGCAGUAACUGACGCUGAGGAGCGAAAGCGUGGGGAGCGAACAGGAUUAGAUACCCUGGUAGUCCACGCCGUAAACGGUGGGUACUAGGUGUGGGUUUCCUUCCUUGGGAUCCGUGCCGUAGCUAACGCAUUAAGUACCCCGCCUGG